UAGGGAAUCUUCGGCAAUGGGCGAAAGCCUGACCGAGCAACGCCGCGUGAAUGAAGAAGGCCUUCGGGUUGUAAAAUUCUGUUAUAAGGGAAGAAAGGUGAUAGGAGGAAAUGACUAUCAAUUGACGGUACCUUAUGAGAAAGCCACGGCUAACUACGUGCCAGCAGCCGCGGUAAUACGUAGGUGGCAAGCGUUAUCCGGAAUUAUUGGGCGUAAAGAGCGCGCAGGUGGUUAAUUAAGUCUGAUGUGAAAGCCCACGGCUUAACCGUGGAGGGUCAUUGGAAACUGGUUGACUUGAGUGCAGAAGAGGGAAGUGGAAUUCCAUGUGUAGCGGUGAAAUGCGUAGAGAUAUGGAGGAACACCAGUGGCGAAGGCGGCUUCCUGGUCUGCAACUGACACUGAGGCGCGAAAGCGUGGGGAGCAAACAGGAUUAGAUACCC
rnacentral:rRNA from 1 species